AAACGCUGGCGGCGUGUCUUAAGCAUGCAAGUCGAGCGGCAGGCGCAGCAAUGCGCUGAGAGCGGCGGACUGGUGAGUAACGCGUGGGUAAUCUACCUUUGGCAUGGGGAUAGCCACUAGAAAUAGUGGGUAAUACCGAAUACGUUCCCUGGGGGGAGGUUUCAGGGAAGAAAGGGUGCUACGGCACCGGCCGGAGAUGAGCUCGCGUCCCAUUAGCUAGUUGGUGAGGUAACGGCCCACCAAGGCGAUGAUGGGUAGCCGGCCUGAGAGGGUGUACGGCCACACUGGGACUGAGAUACGGCCCAGACUCCUACGGGAGGCAGCAGCUAAGAAUAUUCCGCAAUGGGCGAAAGUCUGACGGAGCGACGCCGCGUGGAUGAUGAAGGCCGAAAGGUUGUAAAGUCCUUUUGCUGGGGAAGAAUAAGUGUGGGAGGGAAUGCCCGCAUGAUGACAUGAACCGGCGAAUAAGCCCCGGCCAACUACGUGCCAGCAGCCGCGGUAACACGUAGGGGGCGAGCGUUGUUCGGAAUUACUGGGCGUAAAGGGCAUGUAGGCGGUCUGGUAAGCCUGGCGUGAAAGGCCACAGCUCAGCUGUGGGAUUGCGUUGGGAACUGCUGGGCUUGAGUUAUGGAGAGGGAGCUAG
rnacentral:rRNA from 1 species